rnacentral:lncRNA from 1 species
GAUAGACACUAAAGUAUCUAUCAUGAGAGGAGAGAGAGCUCAGAAAACACAAUUUCACAGAAAUUAAAGACGGCACACACACCUACAAACUGGAUGCUAACCCCAGAUGCCAUAUUUACAAAGGACUUCUGACUAAGGUAGGGUGACUGAAGCGCGGCUCCAAAGACCUAGAGAAGAACUGCCACAGUCUUUAUACCCCACUGCCCGGAUCUUGGGAACAUGGGAUAAACCACAAAG